GCGGCGGCGGGGGCGGGGGCGGAGGCGGCGGCGGCACCCGUCCGCAAGGCCAACAAGGCGCGCAGCAAGCUCUGCGAGAUCAUCUAAUGCCCGCGCGGCUCGGCACGAGAACACUGCAUAUCCCCAGUGACGCUCCCAAAGGAUAGAGAAGUAAGGCUGAUACAAACUAGAGAGGAACUAGAUUUCCAGACUGCUUCACGACA